rnacentral:rRNA from 1 species
AGGACGAACGCUGGCGGCGCGCCUCAUACAUGCAAGUCGAGCGAGAAACUCGGAGCUUGCUCCGGGUGGACAGCGGCGAACGGGUGAGGAACACGUGAGAAACCUGCCCCGAAGACCGGGAUAACACCAGGAAACCGGUGCUAAUACCGGAUGCCCUCUCCGGAUCGCAUGGUCCGGUGAGGAAAUGGAUUCCGCUUCGGGAUGGUCUCGCGGCCUAUCAGCUUGUUGGCGGGGUAACGGCCCACCAAGGCUUCGACGGGUAGCUGGUCUGAGAGGAUGUCCAGCCACACUGGGACUGAGACACGGCCCAGACUCCUACGGGAGGCAGCAGUAGGGAAUCUUGCGCAAUGGGCGAAAGCCUGACGCAGCGACGCCGCGUGCGGGAUGACGGCCUUCGGGUUGUAAACCGCUUUCAGCAGGGACGAAUUGACGGUACCUGCAGAGAGCCCGGCAACUACGCGCCAGCAGCCGCGGUAA